rnacentral:rRNA from 1 species
AUUGAACGCUGGCGGCAGGCCUAACUCAUGCAAGUCGAGCGAGCGGCGGACGGGUGAGUAAUGUAUGGGGACUGCCCGAUAGAGGGGGAUAACUACUGGAAACGGUGGCUAAUACAGCAUACCAUCGGAUAACCCAUAUGGGAUUAGCUAGUGGGUGGGGUAACGGCGCACCUAGGCGACGAUCCCUAGCUGGUCUGAGAUGAUGAUCAGCCACACUGGGACUGAGACACGGCCCAUACGCCUCCGGAGGCAGCAUGGGGGAAUAUUGGACACUGGGCGCAAGCCUUAUUCAGCCAUGCCGCGUGUAUGAAGAAGGCCUUAGGGUUGUAAAGUACUUUCAGCGGGGAGGCGUUACCCGCAGAAGAAGCAACGGCGAAAGACGUGCCAGCCGCCGCGGUAAUUC